rnacentral:rRNA from 1 species
GUGGGGAAUCUUAGACAAUGGGCGCAAGCCUGAUCUAGCCAUGCCGCGUGAGCGAUGAAGGCCUUAGGGUUGUAAAGCUCUUUCAGUGGGGAAGAUAAUGACUGUACCCACAGAAGAAGCCCCGGCUAACUCCGCGCCAGCAGCCGCGGUAAUACGGAGGGGGCUAGCGUUGUUCGGAAUUACUGGGCGUAAAGCGCACGUAGGCGGACUGGAAAGUCAGGGGUGAAAUCCCGGGGCUCAACCCCGGAACUGCCUUUGAAACUCCCAGUCUUGAGGUCGAGAGAGGUGAGUGGAAUUCCGAGUGUAGAGGUGAAAUUCGUAGAUAUUCGGAGGAACACCAGUGGCGAAGGCGGCUCACUGGCUCGAUACUGACGCUGAGGUGCGAAAGCGUGGGGAGCAAACAGGAUUAGAAACCCGGGUAGUCC